rnacentral:rRNA from 1 species
UACAGAGGUCUCAAGCGUUGUUCGGAUUCAUUGGGCGUAAAGGGUGCGUAGGCGGCGCGGUAAGUCGGGUGUGAAAUCUCGGAGCUUAACUCCGAAACUGCAUUCGAUACUGCCGUGCUUGAGGACUGGAGAGGAGACUGGAAUUUACGGUGUAGCGGUGAAAUGCGUAGAUAUCGGAAGGAACGCCGGUGGCGAAAGCGACGUACUGGACCUCUUCUGACGCUGAGGCGCGAAAGCUAGGGGAGCGAACGGG